rnacentral:rRNA from 1 species
CUCGAAGUGGAAGUGUGGUGACAUACGGAGCGGACGAGUACUAAUCGGUCGAGGACUUAACCAAA